CUGAACCAGCCAAGUAGCGUGAAGGAUGACUGCCCUAUGGGUUGUAAACUUCUUUUAUAUGGGAAUAAACUAUUCCACGUGUGGAAUUUUGUAUGUACCAUAUGAAUAAGGAUCGGCUAUCUCCGUGCCAGCAGCCGCGAUAAUACGGAGGAUCCGAGCGUUAUCCGGAUUUAUUGGGUUUAAAGGGAGCGUAGGUGGAUUGUUAAGUCAGUUGUGAAAGUUUGCGG
rnacentral:rRNA from 1 species